GGAAGAUUGUGUGAAGAGACAUGAGAGAAGAUGGCCAUCUACAAGCCAAGGAGGAAGUUCUCACAGCACUCAGAAGGAACCAACCCUGCUGGUAUCUUGGUUUGGACUUCCACCUCCAGAACAGUGCAACAGUAAACUUCCGUGGUUUAAGCAGCCCAGCUUGUGGUACUUUGUCAUGGCAGCCCCAGGAAACCUCAGAGGCAGCAAAGAGCUGCAUCUGCGUGCUCCUCUUACCCCGCGCUCAUCAGUUCCCUGUCCCCAGCAAGACCAGCAAAGGCCAUAAAACCCCAGCUGAGCCUGCAAGGCUGUCGCAGAGGCCCCACAGCCCGUGUUAAUGCGUUUGGGAGGUGUGUGAGAAUAAUACGGAAAAUUGUAUCACCUGGACUGCCAAAGAGAGUCACAGCAACACAGAGAAGACUAUAUAUUCCAAGGAUUGCAAUCAUGUUGCUCUCUGCUCAUAUUUUCAAACUGAGAAUCUGGAUAGAACAUGAACAGUUGGAUUGUGGAUGCAUUUCUUGUACCUUAAAUCGGGGAGACAGCAUCACUAAAAAACUCUCACAUAAUCUCUUUCCAUCUCUUCUUAUGAGUCUUCUACUAACUGCUAUUAACAGGAAAAGGACACUUUCCAAGAUAGGCCAAAAAGAGCUGUGUUGUUGAAGAUGUAUUUUUCUCCCUUUCAGCAGAGACAUUACUUCCUAACUGAAACAUAAGUCUAAAGUCAUAAAUUCAUUCUGGAUAUCUCAUUUCUGUGGAACAAACCCCCCCUCUUUUUUUUUUUGGUUUUGUUUUCUUGAGACAGUGUCUCGCUCUGUUGCCAGGCUGGAGUGCAGUGGCGCCAUCUUGGCUCACUGCAACUUCCGACUCCCUGGUUCAAGUGAUUCUCCUGCCUCAGCCUCCCAAGUAGCUGGGAUUACAGGCACGCACCACCACACCCAGCUAAUUUUUGUGUUUUUAGUAGAGACGGGGUUUCAGCAUGUUGGCCAGGAUGGUCUUGAUCUCCUGACCUCGUGAUCUGCCCCCCUCAGACUUCCAAAGUGUUGGGAUUAUAGGCGUGAGCCACCAUGCCCUGGCCAAACCCUUUUUAAGGAUAAACAACUUUAACAAAUAAAGAAAUAAGUUAAUGAAGUCUCAAGUUGCUAAAUUAAAUUUGAAAGUAUGUGAAAUUAACAAAGGGAAGGAAAAAUAACAGUCCUUCAGGAAAUUUCACAAGUUGUUUCAUUAAAAUAAGCUACAGUGAUUUAUAGAAAAGAAAAACUGAAAUCAGUAUCACAAUGGAUUAAAUUAGCUUCUUUUGUUAAUAGCUACAUGAAAACACUAUACAUUUUUUCUUUUACUUAUUAUUUUUUAAUAGAGAUGGGGUCUCGCUAUGUUAAC
rnacentral:lncRNA from 1 species